rnacentral:lncRNA from 1 species
UCUGCCUCUGCCUCUGCCUCUGCCUCUGCCUCUGCCUCUGCCUCGAGUGCUGGGAUUAAAGGUGUGUUCCACCACCAUGCCCAGCCAGUAAGUCUCUUCAGAAAGUCAGAAAGGUCCCGUCGCCUUUCUGACUUUAUGGAUGUAGCAUAAUUGUUUCAAUUGAACACUAUACUAGCUAUCAGAUAAAUGGUGGAGUGAGAAGACACAGAAGCCUAUGGUCAUGUGUUUUAGAACAGACCUUUAAUUUGGAGGCAUAAGCAAGUAGAUCUCUGAGUUUAGCCUGGUUUAUAUAACAAAUUUCAAGCCAGCCAAGGUUACAAAGUGAGACUGUGUCAGGAGGAGGAGGAGGAGGAAGAAGAAGAAGAAGGAAAGGAAAGAGAGGAGAAGAGGGAGGAGGAGAGGAAGAGGAAGAGGACAAGGAUGAAGAGGAGGAAGCAGCAGCCUGGAGGCUUGGUUGUCUUGGUGACCCAGAGAAAAUGGUGUAGGGGUAGUGAUGCACUGUGAUGCUGUCACAGCGGAUGUGAUAGUGCUUAUCAGGAUGGUAGAAUAUACAGUGUGGCUAUUGAUCACGGGGACACUUCACAUUCCAGGGGUUAAGAGGGUGGGAGAGCCUGAGAUUUCAUCACGCUAUCCAGAAUAAUGACCAAUUUAGGAUUUAUGCAUUGUUUGUCUCUGAGUUUUUCAUUUAAUAUUUUCAGACUAGAGUUGGUUGUAACCAAGAAAGCUAAACCAAGAGGGCCUGGGAGAGUGUAGGCAGUAUACAAUGUACGGCUAUUUUGUUUCUAUUUCGUUCUUGUCGCUUCCCGUCUUUUCUCUCUACAGCUGAAUCUAGUCUUACCCUGAGUCAGCAUUAAAUCUCCAGGCUGUGAAAGAGAUACAUACCAGGAGCCUACAGCCACAUCAGGAAGACGUAACUGCAAGCUCUG